CAUAUGCAGCUUUCUUGUUCUCCAUGUAGACCUUGGACAUAGACUGAGGAGAUGCACGCUCUGUUGGUUUACAACCAUACUUCUCACGCAUUUCAUGCAACAAAUCUCUUGACAUUGUGAAACUGAAACAAUUGAAACUCAAAACUAGAAAUUAGUUUGUUAGUGUUCCAAAAGCUAAGAAAAAUGAGCAAAUGCAAAAGAAAUGAGUGGAGAGACAAACGCUUAUCACUUUCGGUCGAGUGAGCAAAUGAGUGCAAGGUCGAGUGAACCUGUUGUGAGUGUAGGUCGAGUGAGUGCACAGCGAGUGGUGGUGGAUUUCAAGCUCGUCGAGUGGGCUUUGGUCUGCUGCACGUGUAGCCGGUGAUGGACUCCGGUCGAGUGAGCAACACGCGCCAAGUAGAAGAAGUGACGACGGUCGAGUAAGGAGGUGGUGUGCAGCUCGAGUGAGUUGGUACACGGUCGAGUGGUUUGUCGGUGGAGCUCUUCUUGCUGUCUUAGCUCGAGUAACCGCGACCGGUGAUGUGGUUCGGUCGAGUAGCUCCGGUGAAGACAAAGUGGGUCGGUUGGGAGAGCAGCUCGAGUGAGUUGAAAUCCGACGAGUGGGAGAGACGCACCGGUCGAGUGAGCUGGAAUCCCGAUUGAGCACCGAGUAGAAAUCCGGUGCGGACAAGGAGAACCGCGUGAGCAAAC
rnacentral:lncRNA from 1 species